UCCUGGCAUGCCGCCUCCGCCCAACCCACAGAAUCAGCAGCAAAAUCAACAGCAAUAGUGUGGACAUAUUACGUGUGAUGCUCUGUGAUGGCCUUCAGUGGAUAUUAUCUUGUGUUUGCUUCAACCCGAGUCUCACUUGCCAGGGGCUAAAGCUUGGCUCAUCUCCCUGGGUGGAAUCUCUCUUCAAAUUUGUGUUGAUGCUGUUGUAGGAUUCGAGAAUGUACUGUUAUUAGCAAAUUGUGGUCCUCAUUUUGCAAUUUAACCAUUAGAUAUACUUCGAGAGCAGGAUUUUAAUGUGAAUUGCCAAUUCCUGAUCGCCAUGUCUUUAGGUAGAUUCACUUGCCCCCUUCACUUUUUAAUCUGUGUUAGGCAUUAUAUAGGUCUUUCAAUUACUUACGGACCUAAAGUCUGAAUACUACGAACUGAAGGUUCUAUAUUUUGGGACCUCUCUUUUGUUAAAAGGAGAAUAUCUAUAUAUUUUUGUGCGUUCAUGCGAGUUGCA